UGGGGAAUAUUGGGCAAUGGGCGAAAGCCUGACCCAGCAACGCCGCGUGAGGGAAGAAGGGUUUCGGCUCGUAAACCUCUGUCCUAUGGGACGAAGGAAGUGACGGUACCAUAGGAGGAAGCCCCGGCUAACUACGUGCCAGCAGCCGCGGUAAUACGUAGGGGGCGAGCGUUGUCCGGAAUGAUUGGGCGUAAAGGGCGCGUAGGCGGCCUGGUAAGUCUGGAGUGAAAGUCCUGCUUUUAAGGUGGGAAUUGCUUUGGAUACUGCUGGGCUUGAGUGCAGGAGAGGAAAGCGGAAUUACCGGUGUAGCGGUGAAAUGCGUAGAGAUCGGUAGGAACACCAGUGGCGAAGGCGGCUUUCUGGACUGAAACUGACGCUGAGGCGCGAAAGCGUGGGGAGCAAACAGG
rnacentral:rRNA from 1 species